rnacentral:rRNA from 1 species
CGAUGAUCUGGUGCUUGCACUGGUGAUUAGUGGCGAACGGGUGAGUAACACGUGAGUAACCUGCCCUUAACUCUGGGAUAAGCCUGGGAAACUGGGUCUAAUACCGGAUAUGACUCCUCAUCGCAUGGUGGGGGGUGGAAAGCUUUUUGUGGUUUUGGAUGGACUCGCGGCCUAUCAGCUUGUUGGUGAGGUAAUGGCUCACCAAGGCGACGACGGGUAGCCGGCCUGAGAGGGUGACCGGCCACACUGGGACUGAGACACGGCCCAGACUCCUACGGGAGGCAGCAGUGGGGAAUAUUGCACAAUGGGCGAAAGCCUGAUGCAGCGACGCCGCGUGAGGGAUGACGGCCUUCGGGUUGUAAACCUCUUUCAGUAGGGAAGAAGCGAAAGUGACGGUACCUGCAGAAGAAGCGCCGGCUAACUACGUGCCAGCAGCCGCGGUAAUACGUAGGGCGCAAGCGUUAUCCGGAAUUAUUGGGCGUAAAGAGCUCGUAGGCGGUUUGUCGCGUCUGCCGUGAAAGUCCGGGGCUCAACUCCGGAUCUGCGGUGGGUACGGGCAGACUAGAGUGAUGUAGGGGAGACUGGAAUUCCUGGUGUAGCGGUGAAAUGCGCAGAUAUCAGGAGGAACACCGAUGGCGAAGGCAGGUCUCUGGGCAUUAACUGACGCUGAGGAGCGAAAGCAUGGGGAGCGAACAGGAUUAGAUACCCUGGUAGUCCAUGCCGUAAACGUUGGGCACUAGGUGUGGGGGACAUUCCACGUUUUCCGCGCCGUAGCUAACGCAUUAAGUGCCCCGCCU